AGAGCGAACGCUGGCGGCAGGCCUAACACAUGCAAGUCGAGCGCCCGUAGCAAUACGGGAGCGGCAGACGGGAUAGUAACACGUGGGAACGCGCCCUUCGGUUCGGAAUAACUCAGGGAAACUUGAGCUAAUACCGAAUACGCCCUUACGGGGAAGAUUUAUUGCCGAAGGAACGGCCCGCGUACCGAUUAGCUAGUUGGUGAGGUAAUGGCUCACCAAGGCUACGAUCGGUAGCU
rnacentral:rRNA from 1 species